UUAUAACACAUCAUCAACAGCUUUGGAUACCUAAGUUAGAUUCUCGUACUGGCUAUAGCUUUGAAAAAUUUGAAAAACAGAGAGAUACUUUGAACGCUACAAAAUGUCAUCCUAAUUCACAUAAGUCAAUAUUGCCAAAAUUAUCAAUCACCAUUCAACAUGAUUUUUAAACAGAAGCUAGCCAUAGAAAGCGUUUUAAAAGCAAAUGGUCAAGAAAGGCAGAUGCAAAUACUUAUGGAAAUUGGGAUUACGGACCACGCAGGUAAUAUUUUACCAUGGACGCAUUAUCGAAAAAGAGAUGCCCCAUUGUCAAUUAACGAAAUGUAUCGAUGCACACAAAACAGUUCAAUAGGGUAAUCGUCUUCUGCAAAUCAGGAUUCGCAGAUUAAACUGAAAAUUAUUUGAUUUGUUUUGAUAUGAUUUAACCCGAGACACCAAUAUAAUUUAAAAGUCGUUCUUCAAAUUCAAUAAAUAAAAUAUUUUGUGAUUCAUAUGAAGAGGGCUAGUUAUU